UGUAGUCGAAGUUUCAAUUGU
rnacentral:piRNA from 1 species